rnacentral:rRNA from 1 species
GACAGAGGUCCCAAGCGUUAGGCGGAAUCACUGGGCUUAAAGCGUGUGUAGGCGGAUGCCUAAGUACCUUGUGAAAUCCCACGGCUCACCCGUGGAACUGCUUGGUAUACUGGGUGUCUUGAGCCACUUAGGGGCUACCGGAACAAAUGGUGGAGCGGUGAAAUGCGUAGAUAUCAUUGGAACGCCAACGGUGAAAACAGGUAGCUGGGAGUGUGCUGACGCUGAGACGCGAAAGCCAGGGGAGCAAACGGG